rnacentral:rRNA from 1 species
UCAAUUAUUUAUAGCCUCUGGCUAUAGGAAAUUGUUAGUGGCAGACGGGUGAGUAAUGCGUAGGAAUCUACCUAGUAGUACGGAAUAGCCAUUAGAAACGGUGGGUAAUACUGUAUAAUCCCCGAGGGGGAAAGAUUUAUCGCUAUUAGAUGAGCCUACGUUAGAUUAGCUAGUUGGUGAGGUAAUGGCUUACCAAGGCUAUGAUCUAUAGCUGGUCUGAGAGGACGAUCAGCCACACUGGAACUGAGAUACGGUCCAGACUCCUACGGAAGGCAGCAGUGGGGAAUAUUGGACAAUGGGCGAAAGCCUGAUCCAGCUAUGCCGCGUGAGUGAAGAAGGCCUUCGGGUUGUAAAACUCCUUCAAUAGGGAAGAUAAUGACGGUACCUAUA